rnacentral:rRNA from 1 species
GAUGAACGCUGGCGGCGUGCCUAAUACAUGCAAGUCGAGCGAACAGACGAGGAGCUUGCUCCUCUGACGUUAGCGGCGGACGGGUGAGUAACACGUGGAUAACCUACCUAUAAGACUGGGAUAACUUCGGGAAACCGGAGCUAAUACCGGAUAAUAUAUUGAACCGCAUGGUUCAAUAGUGAAAGACGGUUUUGCUGUCACUUAUAGAUGGAUCCGCGCCGCAUUAGCUAGUUGGUAAGGUAACGGCUUACCAAGGCGACGAUGCGUAGCCGACCUGAGAGGGUGAUCGGCCACACUGGAACUGAGACACGGCCCAGACUCCUACGGGAGGCAGCAGUGGGGAAUAUUGCACAAUGGGCGGAAGCCUGAUGCAGCAACGCCGCGUGCGGGAUGACGGCCUUCGGGUUGUAAACCGCUUUCGCCUGUGACGAAGCGUGAGUGACGGUAAUGGGUAAAGAAGCACCGGCUAACUACGUG